rnacentral:rRNA from 1 species
UAGCGAAGGGGGCUAGCGUUGCUCGGAAUGACUGGGCGUAAAGGGCGCGUAGGCGGCUUGCACCGGUCAGAUGUGAAAUUUCCUGGGCUUAACCUGGGGGCUGCAUUUGAUACGUGUGGGCUUGAGUGCGGAAGAGGGUCGUGGAAUUCCCAGUGUAGAGGUGAAAUUCGUAGAUAUUGGGAAGAACACCGGUGGCGAAGGCGGCGACCUGGUCCGUGACUGACGCUGAGGAGCGAAAGCGUGGG